GGAGAGGUGACAGAGUGGCCGAAUGUGCCGGUCUCGAAAACCGGUGUGCCGCAAGGUACCGGGGGUUCGAAUCCCCCUCUCUCCGC
rnacentral:tRNA from 6 species